rnacentral:rRNA from 1 species
CACGUAGUUAGCCGUGACUUUCUGGUUGGAUACCGUCACUGCGUGAACAGUUACUCUCACGCACGCUCUUCUCCAACAACAGAGCUUUACGAGCCGAAACCCUUCUUCACUCACGCGGUGUUGCUCCAUCAGGCUUGCGCCCAUUGUGGAAGAUUCCCUACUGCUGCCUCCCGUAGGAGUAUGGACCGUGUCUCAGUUCCAUUGUGGCCGAUCAGUCUCUCAACUCGGCUAUGCAUCAUCGCCUUGGUAAGCCGUUACCUUACCAACUAGCUAAUGCACCGCACGGUCCACUCCCAGACGUGAUAGCCAAAGCCAUCUUACAAACAAAGCCAUGUGUCUUUUGUUGUUAUGCGGUAUUAGCUAUUCUGUUUACCAAAGUUCGUUACUCCCCCGUCUCCGAGGGCUAGGUUACCUACGUCGUUACUCCACCCCGUUCCGCCUAC